UACGUAGGGGGCAAGCGUUGUCCGGAAUCACUGGGCGUAAAGCGCACGUAGGCGGAUUGUUAAGUCGGGGGUGAAAUCCUGAGGCUCAACCUCAGAACUGCCUUCGAUACUGGCGAUCUUGAGUCCGGAAGAGGUUGGUGGAACAGCUAGUGUAGAGGUGAAAUUCGUAGAUAUUAGCUAGAACACCAGUGGCGAAGGCGGCCAACUGGUCCGGAACUGACGCUGAGGUGCGAAAGCGUGGGGAGCAAACAGG
rnacentral:rRNA from 1 species